rnacentral:lncRNA from 1 species
GAAGAAUCACAGACAAAGACAGUUAUUAACUGGUAUAUUUAAUAUAGUUAAACACCAUUGAGAGGACUAUAGCUAAUAUCACUUCUUGUCUCUUGAUCGUAGGUAGUGGCAGUUUUCAUACCUCGACAGGCUCAACAUGCAUCUGUCAGCAGCACUGGAAUUGUCACCACAGGACUGCAAUGAAAACCUUUAAAUGAGGUGUGCAAAGAAAAGGACUGGCCUAACUGGCUGCAGUCAGCGUGUCCCCGGAACUGAUCGUGGCGGUGAUAGAACCGUGUCUGGGCCCACAAUCACCUGAUCAGCUGCGACCCAACAGGAAACAAAAUGUGUCACUGAGACUUACCAGAGUAAAUGCAGCAGAGUGCAGCAAGGAGUGCACCCCACUGAGUUCACUCUCGG